rnacentral:rRNA from 1 species
GACGAACUGCCCAAACGUUGUUCGGAAUCACUGGCUUAAAGGGCGCGUAGGCGGCAGAUCAAGUCAGGGGUGAAAUCCGGCAGCUCAACUGUCGAAGUGCCUUUGAUACUGAUUUGCUCGAGGGAGAUAGGGGUCUGCGGAACUUCUGGUGGAGCGGUGAAAUGCGUUGAUAUCUGGAGGAACACCGGUGGCGAAGGCGGCAUCCUGGACCGGGAUUGACACUGAGGCGCGAAAGCCAGGGGAGCAAACGGGG